GUUAUAUGGUCAAGCGAAUAAGCGCACACGGUGGAUGCCUUGGCGGUCAGAGGCGAUGAAGGACGUGGCAGCCUGCGAAAAGUAUCGGGGAGCUGGCAACAAGCUUUGAUCCGGUAAUGUCCGAAUGGGGAAACCCACCCGCUUGCGGGUAUCCUGCAGUGAAUACAUAGCUGCUGGAAGCGAACCUGGUGAACUGAAAUAUCUAAGUAACCAGAGGAAAAGAAAUCAACCGAGAUUCCGUAAGUAGCGACGAGCGAACGCGGACUAGCCCUUAAGCUGGAUUGGUUCUAGGAAAACGCUCUGGAAAGAGUGGCCAUAGAAGGUGAUAGCCCUGUAUCUGAAAGGGCCAUUCCAGUGAAGACGAGUAGGGCGGGGCACGUGAAACCCUGUCUGAACAUGGGGGGACCAUCCUCCAAGGCUAAAUACUACUGACCGACCGAUAGUGAACCAGUACCGUGAGGGAAAGGCGAAAAGAACCCCGGAGAGGGGAGUGAAAUAGAACCUGAAACCGUGUGCGUACAAGCAGUAGGAGCUCCGCAAGGAGUGACUGCGUACCUUUUGUAUAAUGGGUCAGCGACUUACUGUUCGUGGCAAGCUUAACCGUAUAGGGGAGGCGAAGGGAAACCGAGUCUGAUAAGGGCGCAUAGUCGCGGGCAGUAGACCCGAAACCGGGUGAUCUAGUCAUGCCCAGGGUGAAGGUGCGGUAACACGCACUGGAGGCCCGAACCCACUCCCGUUGCAAAGGUAGGGGAUGAGGUGUGAUUAGGAGUGAAAAGCUAAUCGAACCCGGAGAUAGCUGGUUCUCCUCGAAAGCUAUUUAGGUAGCGCCUCAUAUGUAUCCUCUCGGGGGUAGAGCACUGUUAUGGCUAGGGGGUCAUCGCGACUUACCAAACCAUUGCAAACUCCGAAUACCGAGACGGACUGUAUGGGAGACACACGGCGGGUGCUAACGUCCGUCGUGAAAAGGGAAACAACCCAGACCCACAGCUAAGGUCCCAAAUUUUGUGCUAAGUGGAAAACCAUGUGGAAAGGCACAGACAGCCAGGAGGUUGGCUUAGAAGCAGCCACCCUUUAAAGAAAGCGUAAUAGCUCACUGGUCGAGUCGGUCUGCGGGGAAGAUUUAACGGGGCUAAGCACAGAACCGAAGCUUGGGGUGCAUAACUUUGUUAUGCGCGGUAGAGGAGCGUUCCGUAAGCCGUUGAAGGUGGAUUGAGAAGUCUGCUGGAGGUAUCGGAAGUGCGAAUGCUGACAUGAGUAACGAUAAUGCGGGUGAAAAACCCGCACGCCGAAAGCCCAAGGUUUCCUUGCGCAACGUUAAUCGGCGCAGGGUGAGUCGGCCCCUAAGGCGAGGACGAAAGUCGUAGUCGAUGGGAAGCAGGUUAAUAUUCCUGCACCUCGCGUAAGUGCGAUGGAGGGACGGAGAAGGUUAGGUGUACCAGGCGUUGGUUGUCCUGGGGAAAGGCGGUAGGUUUGGAUCUUUGGCAAAUCCGGGAUCCUCUAAGACCGAGCACCGAGACGAGCCUUUAUGGCGAAGUCACUGAUACCACGCUUCCAGGAAAAGCUCCUAAGCUUCAGCUUACGCAGACCGUACCGUAAACCGACACAGGUGGGUAGGAUGAGAAUUCUCAGGCGCUUGAGAGAACUCGGGUGAAGGAACUAGGCAACAUGGCACCGUAACUUCGGGAGAAGGUGCACCCUUUUUGGUGGCUCGUGCGAGCUAUAGCUGAAGAGGGUCGCAGUAACCAGGCCGCUGCGACUGUUUAUCAAAAACACAGCACUCUGCAAACACGAAAGUGGACGUAUAGGGUGUGACGCCUGCCCGGUGCUGGAAGGUUAAUUGAUGGGGUCAGCCGCAAGGCGAAGCUCUUGAUCGAAGCCCCAGUAAACGGCGGCCGUAACUAUAACGGUCCUAAGGUAGCGAAAUUCCUUGUCGGGUAAGUUCCGACCUGCACGAAUGGCGUAACGACAGCGGCGCUGUCUCCACCCGAGACUCAGUGAAAUUGAAAUCGCUGUGAAGAUGCAGCGUUCCCGUGGCAAGACGGAAAGACCCCGUGAACCUUUACUAUAGCUUUACACUGAACGUUGAGUUCGUCUGUGUAGGAUAGGUGGGAGGCUAUGAAACUGUGGCGCCAGCUGCAGUGGAGCCAUCCUUGAAAUACCACCCUGUCGUGCUUGACGUUCUAACCUGGGCCCAUUAUCUGGGUCGGGGACCGUGUAUGGUGGGUAGUUUGACUGGGGCGGUCUCCUCCUAAAGAGUAACGGAGGAGCUCGAAGGUACGCUCAGCGCGGUCGGACAUCGCGCACUGUGUGCAAAGGCAUAAGCGUGCUUGACUGCAAGAUCGACGGAUCAAGCAGGUAGGAAACUAGGACUUAGUGAUCCGGUGGUUCUGUAUGGAAGGGCCAUCGCUCAACGGAUAAAAGGUACUCCGGGGAUAACAGGCUGAUACCGCCCAAGAGUUCAUAUCGACGGCGGUGUUUGGCACCUCGAUGUCGGCUCAUCACAUCCUGGGGCUGUAGUCGGUCCCAAGGGUAUGGCUGUUCGCCAUUUAAAGUGGUACGCGAGCUGGGUUCAGAACGUCGUGAGACAGUUCGGUCCCUAUCUGCCAUGGGCGUUGGAGAUUUGAGAGGGGCUGCUCCUAGUACGAGAGGACCGGAGUGGACGAACCUCUGGUGUUCCGGUUGUCACGCCAGUGGCAUUGCCGGGUAGCUAUGUUCGGAAGCGAUAACCGCUGAAAGCAUCUAAGCGGGAAGCGCGCCUCAAGAUGAGAUCUCCCGGGGCACAAGCCCCCUGAAGGAACCAUGUAGACUACGUGGUUGAUAGGUCAGGUGUGUAAGUACAGCAAUGUAUUGAGCUAACUGAUACUAAUGAUCCGUGCGGCUUGACCAUAUAACCU
rnacentral:rRNA from 1 species